rnacentral:rRNA from 1 species
AUUGAACGCUGGCGGCAUGCCUUACACAUGCAAGUCGAACGGUAACAGGUCUUCGGAUGCUGACGAGUGGCGAACGGGUGAGUAAUACAUCGGAACGUGCCCGAUCGUGGGGGAUAACGAAGCGAAAGCUUUGCUAAUACCGCAUACGAUCUACGGAUGAAAGCAGGGGACCGCAAGGCCUUGCGCGAACGGAGCGGCCGAUGGCAGAUUAGGUAGUUGGUGGGAUAAAAGCUUACCAAGCCGACGAUCUGUAGCUGGUCUGAGAGGACGACCAGCCACACUGGGACUGAGACACGGCCCAGACUCCUACGGGAGGCAGCAGUGGGGAAUUUUGGACAAUGGGCGAAAGCCUGAUCCAGUCAUGCCGCGUGCAGGAUGAAGGCCCUCGGGUUGUAAACUGCUUUUGUACGGAACGAAAAGACUCUGGUUAAUACCUGGGGUCCAUGACGGUACCGUAAGAAUAAGCACCGGCUAACUACGUG